CACUCCUACGGGGCGCAGCAGUAGGGAAUCUUCCACAAUGGGGGAAACCCUGAUGCAGCAACGCCGCGUGAGUGAAGAAGGUUUUCGGAUUGUAAAGCUCUGUUAGCAGGGAAGAGGAAGGACGGUACCUGCAGAGGAAGCCACGGCUAACUACGCGCCAGCAGCCGCGGUAAUACGUAGGUGGCAAGCGUUGUUCGGAAUAACUGGGCGUAAAGGAUGCGUAGGCGGUUAAACAAGUUAUAUGUUAAAUAUAUAGGCUUAACCUGUAGAAAGCAUAUAAAACUGUUUAA
rnacentral:rRNA from 1 species